UUCCUUGCAUUAGCUUCUCAAUCUAUGAUGAUCAUAAAUAUAUUCUUAAAUGUUUCGUUCCAUCUUCCCCUUAAUACUUCUCUAGAGCUCUAUAUCUAAAUCUAAAUCCACCCAAAAUCAAACUCUACUCUGAAAAGCUACAUUCAUGGCCUAUGAAAUCCUCCGGAAAAUCUAUUAUAUACAGCUCUCAUGUCUUUAUCGAUGGCUUCUCCUUUUCUUCCAUGAUCUGCAUCCCUAAUUAUCGUCUUCGAGAAGAUAAGGCCUGCUAUUCUGAAUCCUUUAUUUUUCUUGUGCUGAAACUCCAGUAUUAUCAGGUUUGGGUUUAAAAAGACAGAAUUUGCAUGCUGGCAGACGGAUGCUGAUUCUAUCGGUGAUUUCAUUAUUAGUUUCAGGAUCUGCUAUUAUCGACCAACUAGGCAUUUUGUGACAAUUUUCAGGAUAACAAAGAUGCAUGUGGUGACAACAAUUUAAAUGGUAGUUUAGUAUGGGGUUCUAUUCAUCAUUCUUGGUUUCAGAUCAUGUUACUGUGUCGAGAAGAACCCAAAGUCCCAUAAGCAAAGCAAUAUAUAAGGGAAGGAGAAGGGAGAGACUGAUCCUCAACUAAUAAUUCCUAGAGGAACAUGUAUUAGUUAGCAUCUUAAGUGCAUGACAAAGGACUUGCAGAUCCAUCCAGAGCGAAUUGUUGCGAAUCAGAUAACAACUAAGAUUCUUAUUUCCAUGUUUGGUUCUCUCUUACACAUGUUGAGGGGAUAGCUAGAUGUGCAAGGAUAGGUGGCUUGGUGUUCACGCCUUCUUAGAAAGAUGGAAGACCAAGAAGGAAGUUGAGAGAUACCGUGACUGAGAGCUU